rnacentral:rRNA from 1 species
AUACGGAGGAUCCUAGUGUUAUCCGGAUUUAUUGGGUUUAAAGGGAGCGUAGGCGGGAGGUCAAGUCAGCUGUGAAAUGUAUCUGCUUAACGGGUACACUGCAGUUGAAACUGGUUUUCUUGAGUGCGUAAGAGGCAGGCGGAAUUCGUUGUGUAGCGGUGAAAUGCUUAGAUAUCAUGAAGAACUCCGAUUGCGAAGGCAGUCCGCUGGGGCACGUCUGACGCUGAUGCUCGAAGGUGCGGGAAUCAAACAGGAUUAGAUACCCUGGUAGUCCGCACAGUAAACGAUGGACACCCGCGGUUUGGCCUGUAUGGCUGAGCCGCCAAGCGAAAGCGUUAAGUGUCCCACCUGGGGAGUACGCCGGCAACGGUGAAACUCAAAGGAAUUGACGGGG